rnacentral:rRNA from 1 species
AACGAACGCUGGCGGCAUGCCUAACACAUGCAAGUCGAACGAGACCUUCGGGUCUAGUGGCGCACGGGUGCGUAACGCGUGGGAACCUGCCCUUAGGUUCGGAAUAACUCCCCGAAAGGGGUGCUAAUACCGGAUAAUGUCUUCGGACCAAAGAUUUAUCGCCUUUGGAUGGGCCCGCGUUGGAUUAGCUAGUUGGUAUGGUAAAAGCCUACCAAGGCGACGAUCCAUAGCUGGUCUGAGAGGAUGAUCAGCCACACUGGGACUGAGACACGGCCCAGACUCCUACGGGAGGCAGCAGUGGGGAAUAUUGGACAAUGGGCGAAAGCCUGAUCCAGCAGUGCCGCGGGAGUGAUGAAGGCCUUAGGGUUGUAAAGCUCUUUUACCCGGGAUGAUAAUGACAGUACCGGGAGAAUAAGCUCCGGCUAACUCCGU